GACGAACGCUGGCGGCGUGCUUAACACAUGCAAGUCGAACGGAAAGGCCCUGCUUUUGUGGGGUGCUCGAGUGGCGAACGGGUGAGUAACACGUGAGUAACCUGCCCUUGACUUUGGGAUAACUUCAGGAAACUGGGGCUAAUACCGGAUAGGAGCUCCUGCUGCAUGGUGGAGGUUGGAAAGUUUCGGCGGUUGGGGAUGGACUCGCGGCUUAUCAGCUUGUUGGUGAGGUAGUGGCUUACCAAGGCUUUGACGGGUAGCCGGCCUGAGAGGGUGACCGGCCACAUUGGGCCUGAGAUACGGCCCAGACGCCUACGGGAGGCAGCAGUGGGAAAUAUUGCACAAUGGGCGGAAGCCUGAUGCAGCAACGCCGCGUGCGGGAUGACGGCCUUCGGGUUGUAAACCGCUUUCGCCUGUGACGAAGCGUGAGUGACGGUAAUGGGUAAAGAAGCACCGGCUAACUACGUG
rnacentral:rRNA from 1 species